rnacentral:lncRNA from 1 species
CAAACGUUACUGUUAAUGGCAAGAAGAUAGGGAGAUCGGUGGGAGCAAAAACAACAUACAAAUCAAAGAGGAAACUGAAUAAUCACACAACAACCAUAGGUUCUUCGAGCAAAUGUAUUGCAUCUUAAAAAAGAAAGAUAAAUGAAAGCAUAGAGAGCUCAAAAAUUGAGAAAGGAAUAUAUGAAAAAGAAGAAGAUGAAAUUGCUACUGUGAAACAAGAUCGACCAAAGAGAUGAGGGAAAAAGAGAAAUCUUGCAACAACCAGUGUUCUCCAAAUUGAUGCCACCACCACAACAAUUCGAAACCAAGAAACUCCACCAGAAAUACUACCCUCAUAAAUCCCAAAUCCUCUUCCAAUUAACAACUCAAUUCCCCCAACCGUGAUUGUAAACUCAGAAACAACAAUGAACAACCGUAUUCUCGAGGCAAUUUAUAACAUCAACCAUCUCACAGAUCUCGAAAAUUCUGAGGGGGUUGGAUCAAGUGCUGCAAUUACAAAUGUGUUGGAUACUACUGGAGAGGAGGACAAUGAAGAGGUAAGUUUCCUAAACCUUUUUCAAUUUAGCAACCAUACCUUAAAUUUCCCUUCUACAUCACAUACAUUGCUACCCCUAUCACAAUUAUGUUAUUGUAUCNNNNNNNNNNNNNNNNNNNNNNNNNNNNNNNNNNNNNNNNNNNNNNNNNNNNNNNNNNNNNNNNNNNNNNNNNNNNNNNNNNNNNNNNNNNNNNNNNNNNCCCAAAAACCAUGGCAGGAGCCUCCUUCUCCUGUGGAACUCAAACUUAGAUGUUCAAAUUCUUCUAAGUAACAAAGUAUAUCAUAACAUCCUCAUUUGUGAUCCCUUAACUAACAAAAAUGGAAUCUCUCUCUCUCUCUUCUAUGGGAGCCCCUAUCUUGACUCUAAAGAAAGUAGUUGGGAAAAUCUCAAACUUGCUUGUGAAACCUCCACCCACCCCUGGAUGGUCAUGGGUGAUCUUAACCUUAUUUUCUCCCAGACUGAGAAAACAGGUGGGUUACCUUUUGAUCCCGGGGAAAGUGCCUUUGCUGUUAGUAUGAUUCAACAAUUGGGACUUAUUGACCUAGGGUUUAGUGAUGGACCCUACACCUGGUGCAAUAAGAGAGCUGGUAAUGAAAACAUAAGGAAAAGAUUGGAUAGAGGUAUGGCUAACUCUUCUUGGAAACUAUGCUACCCUAAUGCUACUAUUUCCCACUUGACAGCCAUAUCCUUUGACCAUUGUCCCAUUUCUCUCUCUAUUAACCUUACUACUGAAAAUUCUCCUAAACCUUUUAAGUUUCACAGUAUGUGGACUAAAGACCUCUCCUACCACAACUUGGUAAAUUCUGCUUGGUCAAAUGGUAAAGAGCCCUCCCAUGGGAUGCAUUUGAUACCCCAACUAAAGGCUACUAAAAAAAGCCUUGAUUCUUAGGAACAAAAAAGUGUUUGGCAAUGUCUUUAGAGAAGUCACUUCUCUAUAAGACCAAAUCUCCCACCUUCAAGCCCUGCCCUACAAUGGUGAAAAUAAAACCAAAGAGAGAGUUUUGCUUCUCCAGUUGGAUGAAACUCUUUAAAAAGAGGAAGCUUUCUGGAAACAAAAAUCCAGUGAUAAAAUCAUCCAGGAAGGGGAUAGGAACACCAAAUUCUUCCACCUAACCACCCUCAUUCAUAGGAGCCACAACCACAUCCAUGCUAUCUUAGACAACUCCAACAACUGGGUCUUGGGGCAGAACAUGAUUGGUAGAACCCUUGUUGAGCACAACACUAAAAUUUUGUGCCCUAGACAAAUAUCCCUUUCUGAGGGACAAAAAGAUAAAAUCCAAUCCUUGUUCCCUAACUCCUUGGAUUCCAUAGACAAUGACUACCUCUCUUGCCCUCCCACCAUAGAAGAACUCAAAUUUAUUAUGGAUGAGAUUGGGCCUCUCAAAGCACCUGGGCCUGAUGGUUUUCCUAGCCUCUUCUACCAAGAAUCUUGGGACACCACCAAGUCGGAUCUCCUAGACUUGACCCAUGAUUUUUGAAAUAACAAUAUUUCUCUUGAGCAUAUCAAUAAAACCAAUAUUGCUCUAAUCCCUAAAGGCCCAAACCCUUCUCACCUUUCUGAGUUUAGACCCAUUAGUUUUUGCAAUGUGAUUUACAAAGUUAUUUCGAAGCUGAGAGAGUGAAAACCUUUCUCCCUAACAUCAUCUCUCCCCUUCAAUGUGCUUUUGUCCCUCACAGACAAAUUUCUGACAAUAUAAUCAUCACCCAUGAGAUCCUGCACACCAUGAAAAAUAAACAAGGUAUAGGAGGGUUGAUGGCCAUAAAAAUUGAUAUGUCUAAGGCCUUUGAUAGAGUCAAUUGGCACUGUCUAAUCCACAUUCUCUCUUGUCUAGGUUUCAAUGAUAACAGUGUUAAUCACAUCCACAACUCUGUGUCCACCAUCUAUUCUUCCAUCAUUCUCAAUGGUUCCCCUUAUGGCUAUUUCAAACCUACCUGUGGGCUCAGACAAGGAGACCCUCUAUCUCCUUCCCUAUUCAUUCUCUGCAUGGAGUUACUUUCCAGACUCCUCAAUGAGAAAUGUAACCAAGGAAAAAUCCAUGGGAUCAAGGUUGCUAGGAAUAGUCCCCCUAUCUCUCACCUCCUUUUUGCAGAUGAUAUCUUCAUCUUCUGUAGAGCUAAUUAUUGAAGCCAUUGAGCUCAUUGACUCCCUCCACACCUUUUGUGAUCUAUCAGGACAACAAAUCAAUUACUCCAAAUCUGGUGUCCUGUUUAGCAAAAAUACCUCCAACUACAACCAAAACACCAUUCAGACCAUCCUCCAAAUGAAAUCUCUUAAAAAGAAGCAACUAUACCUUGGUACCCCUUUGUUCUUGGUGGAACACUAAUCCUCCAUGUUCAAAAACCUCAUUCAAAGAAUUGAGAAAAGACUUUCAGGAUGGAAAGGGAAAGUCCUUUCUUAAGCGGGGAAGACUGUUUUAAUCAAAAGUAUUACCUCGGCCAUCCCCUCCCACCAAAUGACUUGUUUUAAAAUCCCCAAAGAGAUCACCUCUAAAAUUGAUGCUAUCCAAAGAGAUUUCUGGUGGGGUAAAGAAGAAAACAAAAGGAAAAUGUACCUCAAAAGUUGGGACUUCAUUUGUAGACCCAAAAGGCUAGGUGGUUUAGGCACAAAAAAGAUGGAAACCCAAAAUGAUGCCCUCAUCUCUAGAAUUUCCUGGAGACUUCUCACAAAAAAGGAAAAUUUGUGCACACAAAUUAUCAAGUCCAAAUAUCACAAAAACACCCCACUCCUCCACAGUUCCCACUCUACCAAUGCCUCUUGGUUCUGGAAAUCAAUCUCCAAUUCCAUCCAAAAGAUGAAUCCUUGCAUCUGCUGGGAGAUUGGUAAAGGGGAUGACAUUAACAUCUGGGAUGACAACUGGAUCCCUACCCUUCCCCUCUUUAAGAUUCCCCCUGACACAUCCAGGGCCCCCAACUUAAUUAAUGUUAGAGAUCUUCUCAUCCCCAACACUAAUAUUUGGAAUAACCCCCUUCUGGAGGCUACCUUCAACAUCGAUACUUGUCACCACAUUUGUAACAUCCACUUAGGGAGAACUCACCAACCUGACACUCCCAAGUGGAUGUGUACUAAGAAAAGAAAACAUAGUGUGAAAUCCAUGUAUUCCCAUCUUGCUUCUCCCCCUCACCUCAUUACAAAAAAUGGAAAAGUCAAUUUAAAAAUUUGGAAAACUAAGGCUGCCCCUCAAGCUAUUCUCUUUGCUUGGAAAUGCUUAAACAGAGUGGUACCCACAAGAGCUCACAUAGGCCAAUUCAUACAUAUCCCUACUAAGCUUUGCCCCAUGUGUAACCACCGUGAAGAAACCAUAGACCACAUGCCCACUCACUGUCCCUUUACCCAAGCUAUUUGAUUCCUAAGUAGAUGGUCCUUUAGACUCACACAUUUCACCAACAUGACUGCCAACCAAUGGAUCCACUCUUGGUUCUCCUUCCACAAAGACUGGUUACUCCCCAAAGAAAAAUGGGCUAGCCUUUGUGUAACUUCAACUUGGCAAAUUUGGAAGACUAGAUGUAUCAAAGUCAACCAGAACAUCACUAUUGAGCCUGGUACUGUGGCUAGACAGAUUGCAGAAAUCAUGUUUCAGUAUGACAAGGUCCCAAUGUAUCCUCAAUUACUUCCUCCACCUCCCCAGAACAAUGCUAUUGGGAUUCCCCAACCCAAAAACUUUCAUAAGCUCAAUAUAGAUACCCAUUUUACAGGUACAGAUCACAGGUUUGGUAUAGGCUUCAUACUAAGGAAUGCCAAUGAGAAAUUUGCAGGUGCUGGAAGCUGCUCAGGUACAGCAGGAUCCUCAGAUGAUGCAUGGGCAACAGGAAUACUGGAAGCCAUUCUUUGGGUGACCCAGCAACCAGUAACUGCAUUAGUGCUCAAAACCUAUGCUGUCAGGGGCGCCGCUUGAGCGCCGCUCAGCGCCGCCUAGGCGCUAUUUCUAAAGGAGGACGCUCCGCUGGGCCAACACAACGCCUAAAACGCCUUGGGCCGUCUGGGCGGCGCUCAGGUCCAGUGCUUUGGUCAGAGCGGCCCAUAGAAACGCGCUCAGGGAGGCCCAAAUCCAAGAAAGCCCGUAUAAAAAAUUAAAAAAAAAAAAAAAAAAAAAAACUCACUUCUUUCUCUCUCACCUCUUUCACGUUCUCUCUCUCUCACCUCCGCCUCUCUGGUUUCUCUCUUCUGCUACUUCUCUCCGGCUCUGCUGCUAAUUCAUAUUCAAAGCUAAUCAAAUCUUAUAAUCUUUUUCUAAUCUUCUUUAAUCAAACCAAAAUCUAAUCAAAUUUAUUUAUUUUUUUUAAUUUUUCAAAUCAAAUUCUAAUCUUUCUUUUUUCAAUUUAACUUCUAUUGAAAUGUUAAUCCCCCAAUUAGCAAUCCAAUUCUUUCGCUGACUAGUUAUUGUUAACCCCCCCCCCCCCCCCCAUUAGGAGGUUCUGGGUUGCAUUAAUGGUUCAGUGAUCACUUAUAGUUAUAAUUUAUAAAUUCAAUACAAAGUUACAAACAUAAUUAUCCAAAUCUCUUAAUGUUGGUCUUGAUCGGAGCGGCGUCUCAGCGCCGCCUGAGCGGUGGAGGCGGUUCCCAGAAAUCUGAGUGCCCGGCGCUCCGCUCCGCCCUUGACAGCAUAGCUCAAAACUGAUCAUAAGGGCGUUGCGGAUUUUCUCAAUGGCUAUGACAAUAACCUAUCUCCACGAUCAAUCACUAUUUUAAAUUAUGUACUUCAGUUUUUUUUUCUUUAUUUAAUACUAUUCAGGUGACUUUCACUGGCAGUACUGGGAACCAAGCUGCUCAUAUCCUUGCCUCUAGUGCUUGCAUAAGUGUAAAACCCGUUUAUAUUAUAAAUUUUUGUUCGUUAAAUUUUAUUGGAUUAUGAAAUAUUGCAUAGAUGUCUUUAAGGGUUUAGAGUUAAUUUUCUAUUAAGUUGAAGGAUGAUAUAUUAAUUAUUAAAAAAAAAGGUAGAUGGAAUUGGGUUGGGUAGCAGAUCCAUUUAUGGUCCUAAAAUAAAGCCCAUUAACUUCUCCAUAUUAUUUAUAUUAAAAUCUUAGGAUUUUUAUUCAUUUUUUUAUAACACCAUAUUUGGGAGAAGAAGAAGAAGAAGAAUUGGAAGAAAGCUAGAAGAAGAUUUGGAUUUUUAUGCUUAUACAAGUGUGUAGACGUUUUUUUUGUUUUUGUUUCUAUUUCUGUUUUCUGUGAUUUCAGAUUUUUACUCAUCUUUGAAAAAUCAUAGAAAAUUCGUUUGAAAAUCUUUUUAAUUGAUUCCAAAAACCCUGAACACUAGAUUGAAAUGUCUUCAUUCGAUUAGUUAAGACCAAUUUUCUAAAGUUAUGUUAAUUUGGUUAAAAACGACUUGCAAGUAUGACAACCGUUGCAGUUUUCGGUUUCUGUACCGUUUUAGUAUCGCAAGGUUUUGAUCCCUCUAGACUUAAUGAUAUUUAUUGAACAUUUUAUGGCAGUUAGAAUACUCAAUGUAUAACAGCAUAUAUAAAUUUCGGAAUUUACUGUUGUGUAAUUAAUUCUAAAUAAUUUAUUCAACGUAGUUAUUUUCAGAUAUCCAGUAUAAUUUUACUGCUACCUUUCUGUUUGCGUGGUUGUCAUAGAAAAAUCAUAGAAGACUCGUUACUCAACAUAUCUUGAUGAAUUUACUUGUUUUAGAAAAUAAACAUUCUAAACUAUAAUUUCUAUGUUUAGAAAUACUUUAAAUUAUGAGGCUAAUAUGGUGAAAAAUGCUCAGGAAGUCUGACGUAGAUUGUUUUGUGAUUUCUUUCUGAAAUCUGGUAGGAUGGAGUAAAACAAUUGUUUAAUUAUUUUUUAUAUAUCAAAACGCUUCCAUAUUUUUAUUUCAAGUAAUAUUUUCAUAGUAAAAGGUUGUAUUAAAGUUUUAUGAGAUUUGAGUAAUUAUGUUUAGAUGUGUGAAUUUUGAAAGAUGAAUGUUAUUGUUUGGCAGAUUUAUGUAAAGAGUUUUUUUUUAGCAUAUACUAAAAGUUUCUUUUGAUUGUCAAGUUGAAAUAGUCAUGUACUAAAAGUAUUCUUAAUAUUGAAGUGGAUUAGUAUAUAAUGGCAUGUGACUUGAUUAAUUAUGUUUAAAGUAACCUGGAAAGUUAUAUUGAUGAACGUCUAGAAAUGGCUCCAUACCAAUGGAUGGUAUAUGAAUGGAAACGAAAUGAAUACUGAACUUGGGAUUUAAUUAUGGAAUGAUUUGGAAUGGUUUGAUACCAUGGACGAUAUAUAUUCAAUUUGGGAAAUAAGAAUGGAAUACGAAAUGGACUUGGAAUUUAAUUGUUUGGCAAAGGUUGUGUGAUUGCUUGAUUAGUUUAGUUGUUUUGGUAGUCGCCCAAGCAUUAGUACAUUUGCCGCACCUCUGGAAUUAGGUUAAAGAAAUUAAUUAUCACCCUAGACGGCUUAGCCUGCGGGUUAACUCUUGGAUUAUAUUUGGGUAUUUUCUAAACGGCUUAGCCUGCGGAACUGACCCUUCAGACCUUCAUAGUCUUCGGGGUUGGUCUGGGCGCCACAUUAGAAAGCUCAAGGGAGCUAUUAGAGAUCAUGAGUUAGGCAUAUGUCGAGGCUAGCCAAAGCUUGCAGGUGAGCACCCACUUGGGUUUUGGUUUCCGCGUAGAGGUUCUUAACCAUGGUCAAGGCACACUGGUGCAGUGUGGGUAUGGCAAAUGUGUGGAGUGCAUCCUGUGGGAGGUGUACUAGUGAUUGGGUAUAUGUUGUGAUUUUUAUGAUUGUUAAUCCCGAGCACUGGCUAGAAGCCAGGACGUGGUUUUGUGACUUUAGAUUUGUUGUUUGGUAGUGUGGUAAGGCUUAUGAUAUUGUAGUGUUUGGUGUUACUUAAUGAUAUGGGUAAAUUUUAUAUAUUUUGAUUAUGAACUGGAGGUAACUAUGAUUAUGUGGAAGAACUACGAUAUUUUACUUAUUAUGGGUAUUAAUAGUCAUAAUUGGACUUGUCAUUUUGGUAGAUUACAAACUACGAAGAGUUGGAAUGAAUCAUUAUUAAUGGGUUGAAUGAACGGAAUGUAUUUUCAGGUUGAUACAAAGUAUUAGAUAACACGUAACGUGUAUGUGAUUUGCUUCAUCUUUAUUAUAUUUGUGUAUUAUGUAUUAAUUUCAUUUUGCAGGUGGAUAGGUCAACUAAUUUAUUUUGUGCAGGUGGAUAGACCUAUCCUUAAAGACAGUUGCUACUUAGGUAAUGUAUUUGUAUUAUCGAUCAAUUAACAUCGUAAAUAGAUAAAUUAGAAUUGAAUAAUAGGACUAAGCAUUUGAUUAAAUAAUGGAUAAAAGGUUUAAAUAUAAAUGAAAUUGAUAUGGUUUUUGGCGUAUGCUUAUUGUUUUAGCAUGAAAGAAUUGUUCUUUAAGAUUAAUUAUGUUGUUAAUCAUAUGAGGGAACUGUAUAUUUAUUAUGUUAUUUUGUGGGAAUAGAUUUCCCCCUUGUUUACUCAUACCAGUUUUUAUGCUGACCCAUGUUGCUUUGUUUUUGCACGUGGGUGUAUUCCAUUUGGAAUUCCAUUUGGAAUGCAUGCAGGAGAGGUUAAAGCUAUGGAGCUAUGACAGACCGCUUGUUGGGACCAGUAGAGAUCUUUAGAUGUUUCAUUCAUAUAUUUUGUUGGUGUAAGUUAUGUUGUAUAAUAGAAUGUAAUCAGG